rnacentral:lncRNA from 1 species
GAAAUAUCCACUGAACUUUGAGAGAACUGUAAAAAUUACAUUUCAUGCUAGACAGGGCCUAGAGGAAUUGGAAGCAAUGAAACAAAUACAAAAGAAGAUGAGAGCACUCUCAGUAAUCUGGUGAAACACUGUUAUAUCUCCUGGGCUAAGGAUUCAUCUUUGGUCAAACUGUUGAAAUCAGUCAUUGGAAAUAAAAGGUUAUCUAAAGUUUGAUCCAGCACAGAGUCUGAGCUUGCAUCCCCAGAAGGAUGGGACAUGGGCCCCGAGGUACCAAAUGCAGCAUUACAAGCCAUGACUUAUGUCAGGAGAAAAG